rnacentral:rRNA from 1 species
UACGUAGGGUGCGAGCGUUGUCCGGAAUUAUUGGGCGUAAAGGGCUCGUAGGCGGAUUGUCGCGUCGGGAGUGAAAAUGCGCUGCUUAACAGCGCGCUUGCUUUCGAUACGGGCAGACUGGAGGUAUGCAGGGGAGAACGGAAUUCCUGGUGCAGCGGUGAAAUGCGCAGAUAUCAGGAGGAACACCGGUGGCGAAGGCGGUUCUCUGGGCAUUACCUGACGCUGAGGAGCGAAAGUGUGGGGAGCGAACAGG